GUGUAACUCAAUGGUAGAGUGCUUGCCUAGAAUGUGAGAAGCCCUGGGUUCAAUUCCCAGUAC
rnacentral:tRNA from 1 species